rnacentral:rRNA from 1 species
GAUGAACGCUAGCGGCAGGCCUAAUACAUGCAAGUCGAACGGUGUCUUCGGACAUAGUGGCGCACGGGUGCGUAACACGUAUGCAACCUACCUUACAUUGGGGGAUAGCCUUUCGAAAGGGAGAUUAAUACCGCAUAAGACAGUAGCUGGGCAUCCAGCAGCUGUUAAAGAUUUAUCGAUGUAAGCUGGGCAUGCGUCCAAUUAGCUAGUUGGUGAGGUAACGGCUCACCAAGGCAAUGAUUGUUAGGGGAACUGAGAGGUCAAUCCCCCACACUGGCACUGAGAUACGGGCCAGACUCCUACGGGAGGCAGCAGUAGGGAAUAUUGGGCAAUGGACGCAAGUCUGACCCAGCCAUGCCGCGUGCAGGAUGAAGGCGUUAUGCGUUGUAAACUGCUUUUAUACAGGAAGAAACGACUCUUGCGAGUGGCAUUGACGGUACUGUAUGAAUAAGCACCGGCUAACUCCGUGCCAGCCGCCGCCGUAAGAC